UGACUCAAUAGUGGCCGGUACAC
rnacentral:miRNA from 1 species